UGUCCUAAUUAUCAGUCUGUCUGUCUGCGUUGAGUAGCCCAAAAGUAUUGAAUGUUAUGUGUGAAAUUGUUUUAGUAUGGGUACUGUCUGCUAACCAUGAUGUUGAGAAAUGAUCCAAUGAACAGAGAUACCAGAAAGACUUUCAAUUUGUUUCAUCUUUAUUGGGAAGCCAGAAGAGACCCAGAAAGACCCACAGAACACAUUCCCCCAAGGAACACAUUUGCCCCUCCAAAACACAGUCUGUACAGUUGCUGUUGUGGGUCUUGUUUUUGUUUGUUUGUUGCUGUUUGCUGUUGUCUGUGUUAGUGUGUUGACUGGACUCAGUGAACCAGCAAGAGCCUGUCUGCAACGAGCGCCAGACUGAAUCCAGGUGUGUGAUACCAUGGCGACGGGAAUAAAUAAAUAAAUACGAAACAGACAGGGAGCAAAUGAAGGGUCGCGUCGGCGUGAGAGCUGCUGCCAUUCAGUUCUGGCCACAGUCUUCUGCUUGUACGCGCACACACACACACACACACACACACACACACACACGGACUGAAUGAACCCCAAAUUCAAUCUGUCAACACCUUUAUGAACAGAAGACAACACUCAAUCUUCUCAUACAUCACCCAACCAACGCAACCAACUGACUUGCCUCUUUUCAGGGACAUGUAGCGAUUUGUUGGAGAAGCUCUAGACCAGUGGUUAAUUAACACCUGGAUGCUUUGGGAGAGCUCAUAUGCCUUAAUCAGGGAAAUAUUCGCUGAGCUAGGACGAAAACCAGCACAUGAAGUAGCCCUCCUGGGACAGAAUCAUGCUGCCCCUGCAGUAUUCACACCACAAAAAUCCAUCCUGUUAACAUAGUGCAAAAGGAAUGUGGUGGUAUUGACCAAUUAACCACACCCAUUCGGGGCUAUGGGCCAAUCACAGCUCAGAACCCUCACAGUUGCUGUCAGAGACAUCUAUCAAUAGAGGAGCCUGUUUUGAUAUGCUUGCUGGGUCUGCAGACGAUCGAGCACGAGGUGACACAGUCAACCUGCAGUCAGUAAUCCCAAGGAAACAUGUGGCGUUGUAAACCAUCAUGAUAUGUAUGCGAGGAGUGUGGUGCCAGCAAGAUGUCGCCUGAAGAACACGACUUGAUGAGUGAGAACACCAAAAACUAAAGGCCACACAUAAAAUGAUACGACUUUUUCCAGGACUUUGUGUUCUGUCUGGUAUGUUCACACCCAACGUUCACAACCGUACUG
ensembl:lncRNA